rnacentral:rRNA from 1 species
CGGCAAAAGCUCAAAUUUGAAAUCUGGCUUUGUAUCAAAGUCCGAGUUGUAAUUUGUAGAGGAAACUUUGGUGCGGCCUUGGUCUAAGUUCCUUGGAACAGGACAUCACAGAGGGUGAGAAUCCCGUAUGUGGCUGAUGGCUUUAACCAUGUAAAGUUCUUUCAAU